rnacentral:rRNA from 1 species
AGCAGCCGCGGUAAUUCCAGCUCCAAUAGCGUAUAUUAAAGUUGUUGCAGUUCAAAAGCUCGUAGUUGAAUUUCGGAAUCCAUCCGUCGGUCGGGCUUCACGGUCCGCACUGGUGUGAUGGAUUCCUACCUUCUGAAUAACCAGCAUGUCAUUAAUUUGGUGCGUUGGGGAAGCAGGACUGUUACCUUGAAAAAAUUGAGUGCUUAAAGCAGGCUAGUGCCUGAAUACAUUAGCAUGGAAUAAUGAAAUAGGACGGCAUGGUUCUAUUUUGUGGUUCUAGGAUCACCGUAAUGAUUAAUAGGGAUAGUUGGGGGCAUUAGUAUUCAAUUGUCAGAGGUGAAAUUCUUGGAUUUAUUGAAGACUAACUUCUGCGAAAGCAUUUGCCAAGGAUGUUUUCAUUAAUCAAGAACGAAGUUAGGGAUCGAAGACGAUCAGAUACCGUCGUAGUCUUAACCAUAAACCUAUAGCCGACUAGGGAUCGGGACGAUUGUUAAUUUUUAANGACUCGGUUCGG